rnacentral:rRNA from 1 species
CGGAAAAAGAAGAGUGGCGAACGGGUGAGUAACACGUGGGUAACCUGCCCAUCAGAAGGGGAUAACACUUGGAAACAGGUGCUAAUACCGUAUAACAAUCGAAACCGCAUGGUUUUGAUUUGAAAGGCGCUUUCGGGUGUCGCUGAUGGAUGGACCCGCGGUGCAUUAGCUAGUUGGUGAGGUAACGGCUCACCAAGGCCACGAUGCAUAGCCGACCUGAGAGGGUGAUCGGCCACAUUGGGACUGAGACACGGCCCAAACUCCUACGGGAGGCAGCAGUAGGGAAUCUUCGGCAAUGGACGAAAGUCUGACCGAGCAACGCCGCGUGAGUGAAGAAGGUUUUCGGAUCGUAAGACUCUGUUGUUAGAGAAGAACAAGGAUGAGAGUAACUGUUCAUCCCUUGACGGUAUCUAACCAGAAAGCCACGGCUAACUACGUGCCAGCAGCCGCGGUAAUACGUAGGUGGCAAGCGUUGUCCGGAUUUAUUGGGCGUAAAGCGAGCGCAGGCGGUUUCUUAAGUCUGAUGUGAAAGCCCCCGGCUCAACCGGGGAGGGUCAUUGGAAACUGGGAGACUUGAGUGCAGAAGAGGAGAGUGGAAUUCCAUGUGUAGCGGUGAAAUGCGUAGAUAUAUGGAGGAACACCAGUGGCGAAGGCGGCUCUCUGGUCUGUAACUGACGCUGAGGCUCGAAAGCGUGGGGAGCAAA